rnacentral:lncRNA from 1 species
CUCACUCCUAAUAAAAGUAUGCAAUAUUUUACAUACAUGUAAUAUUUUACAGUCUAUCAGUAGCUCCAACCUGAAACAUAAUCAUUUGCCCCUUUGGUUGUUUAAAGUAAAAAUUCUCUUCUUUCAGGGAUAGGAAAACUAAGAUGUUACAGGUAUAGCUGCUUGCAAAUAUUUGUGAGUUACAGAGCUGGGUGGCACUUCAUCCAAACUCCAAAGUUCAAGUCAACAGCCCAUUCAGUGGUAACUAUUUUAGUGAACAAAGAUCUCCUGACUAUGUCUAUUUGUCCAAAUUCUACUCUCUCAUUUCAUUUCUAUUUCCCCUCACCCCACACAACACAUACAUGACUCAAACCUCAUAAACAAUGCAUGAAAGUGCACACAUCUCACACAAAUACACAUAUCACAUAGUUUUCACAUACUACAGAAACACACACAUUUACCUCAUAAACAGAACACAUUAACAUAUUCACUCUCCACACACACGCACACCUCAAAGACACACAGAACACAGUAAAAUAUACACAUUUCACUCACACACUUCCAUAUAUACCUGUCACACCACACAUAUACGUACCUCACAGACACACAUAACACAUGCCACACACACUACACUCACAUAAAAACUCAUGCAUUUAACAUUCAUAUAUAUAAACACAAAUCACAUAUAAAUCUCACAUACAUGCAAUCAACUCACAGGGACACACAUGUAUGUUCACAUACAGGGAAGAAAAGUUGUGAAUGUGGUCCAUCAGGUUACAAGACAUUAGACUAUAUUCUCCAGGGAAGGACACAGACUGAGUUCUUGAGAGUCUUCUCAAAUAAGAAUUACAGAUGAAAAGAUACAAGCCCCAUCUGCUAUGCUUCUACUGUAAGUAUGGAAAUGCCUCUCACACUGAGCAUUUUCUAUUAGUGUUUUAGCAAUUUUAAUAUGUCUUAAGGGAUUCUUAUAACCACAUUUGGAAAGUUUUCUACAUUCUGACACAUUAUACUCCCAGGAAAUUUUUGUUGAUAAGAAAUCUAUUUUGUCCCAAAAAUUCUCAGAAUUGCCCUUAUUAUCACCCCUUAGCUCUGUUUCCCCUGCAGCAUUUAUCCUUUAAAAACUCAGCAACUAAAAUGUCCAUUCAUUUACUCAACCAGGCUGUAAAUUACAUGCUUCUCUUGCAUAAUCUCUCAGGCCCUUCAUCAUACUGCUCUCUCCACUCCCUUCAAAUUGUUUGCAUAUUUUUCCCUCAGGAUUGAGUUGCUGUAGUUGAGGCUCUACCUAAAAGCUGGUUAGGACUCCCAAUCAGAAUGGGAGUGUUAAUUAUUUGCUAUAACCUGUCUAUAGCUGUCUGGCUUUUAUCUAAUAUGUUCUUACGACUUCAUCAUUAUCAGUGCUGAAUGAUGCCAGGGAUGUUUAAUUGAUAGAUUAUUAUUAAUUCACUAUCCAUCUUUUUUUGUAUAUUAUGG